UACGGGGGGAGCAAGCGUUGUUCGGAUUUACUGGGCGUAAAGGGCGCGUAGGCGGCCAGCACAAGUCAGUUGUGAAAUCUCCGAGCUUAACUCGGAAAGGUCAACUGAUACUGUGCGGCUAGAGUGCGGAAGGGGCAACUGGAAUUCUUGGUGUAGCGGUGAAAUGCGUAGAUAUCAAGAGGAACACCUGCGGCGAAGGCGGGUUGCUGGGCCGACACUGACGCUGAGGCGCGAAAGCGUGGGGAGCGAACAGG
rnacentral:rRNA from 1 species